AUUUUCUGACAGAUUGACGUUUCGGCGGCGUCGGCGAAAAAACUUUGACAGCUGACAUCAAGCAAAAACUUGUUCAGACUGGAUUGAACAAAAGUUAAAGAUUGAUGUUGAAAAUGUAAUGUGCAAAACCAAAUCGGAGCAAAAAGUUGGUUGAUGCAGUACAGCCGGAUACCGGGCCACCCGUGGAAAUAUGGUUCGAAGCCGGGCAUGGCAUUGGCCUUCCUACAGUCAGCACCGAUCCUGGCCCAAGGCCAACACCAUCCGGCUGGUGGUAAAGACGGUCUCUUCAAUAUGCAGUAGUUUCCGUUGCCCAAUUCGCUACCCCCCAAACCAUAAUGAAGCGUGGCGAGCCAUUUCCAUCAUCAAUCCUAAAAUACAUGAGGACGUACAUACAACGAUUCGGCUUUUCCCACCUCCUCUUUGACAUCUACAGCCGGAACCGGAGCUCAACAACAACAACAGCCUCAACGUGCCGCCGACUCCGACCUACAACACAACUCCUCCGAAUGUAACGCUACUCCUGAACUGAGCGGACCUCCCGCCGGCAUGGGACCGAUGCAUCAUAAACCACCAACACAUCUCCACCAUCCGCCGCCACACGUCCACCAACACGGACCGCCGCAGAUGCCCCAGAUGCAAUUGUCCCCGCACGAUCACCGCUGCGGACUAGAGAACCUCUAUGUUCUCUUAUCAGUUCAACACCCAGCAGCAUCUUCCGCACCAUCCGAGCCCCGCGGAAAUGAAGCAAGAAGUCACUCAAUAUAAGCGGAAGUGCCGCAGCGGUUCAAAAGCAAGAAUCGAUGGAAUUGACGCCACCGCCAAGCCAGCGACGGCCGCCACCGCAUCGAUGAUUUUGUUAAUUUUAGGCUUUGGGAGGAUUUUGUACAGUUUAAAGUGUUUUGUAUUCCAGAUUUCGGUCUUCGUGGCGGUAUAGGAGGAAGAGGAGGAGGAGGAGGACGGGAAAUAUGGUAUACUCGACCGGCAUUCCGGAAGACGGGACAGGAAGGAAUCAGUUUGCGAUCGAGGAACCGGUUGGUGUUUGGUGUUUUACUUUCCGCGGGAGGUUGCGACGCAUAUCUAAUGGAACUGGCAGUAAACAUAUUCCAAUCUGAUCCUGUCGGAAAUCAUGCGUCCCCGUGUGGUCCCGCGUGGCUUCCGUAGAACCCACGGAAGCAGCCACGUUUUCUCGUACUCAUGCUCCCACAAACCCACGUUGUCUCGUACUCCGGUAAACAUCAAUCCGUCGGAGGUCCAAGAUCGUCGCCAAGGCGUUUGAUCAGCUC